CUAAGUAGGCUCAGGCGGGUGAUGGGGUGGGAGGGCUCAGCAUAGACUGGCAGGAAAUGAGGACAGAGCCACGAGGCCAUCCGAAAGAGCAUUCCAGGCAGGGGGAAACAGCAAGUGCAAAGGCCCUGGGGUAGGAUGGUGCUGUGCCUGCUGGAGGAACACGUGGGAGGCCAGCAUGGUUCCGAGUGACCAAGGGGGAGAACAGUGGGAGUUGAGGAAAGAAAGACAGAAAGGCGGCAGAAGGAUGACCAUAUAACCUGGGCCAUAUGAGGCCACUGAAAGGACUUCUAGAUUUAAGCCACACGUUCAUGUUCUCGGAAAUGGCACUUUCCGUUGAAAUGCAACAAUUCCAAAGGAGCACUUUGCCUCCCUGGACCUCCUCCCUCACACUGGCUCUGCCUCCACCCCCCUCCUGCCCCAUCAGGACCUGCCGUUCCCGGGGUCCAGGCUCAACCUCCGAUGCGUCAGCUGUGAGUCACUGCUCUCUUUUACAGCCAGGAUUCAUUCAAUAAUAAGUUUGUCAAGACUGCAAACCCUGAAGACAGUGCACUGGCUCGUAGCAGGAACAGAAAAAUAAAACCUGGGGAGUUAAAUACUUGCAGAAAUACCAUUUUUGCAAAUACAGGUGGUGCCACUGCACGGACCCCAACAGCAUUGCCACGUGGGAGGACAAACACUGGGGAGAGGUCUGUGACCACGAGCUGAACAGUUACUGGCUCGGCCACCUCUGUGCCUGUUUGAUGCUGGUCCUGGAAGACGCAAUUAUUCACCUCUCUGCUGCAGUUGGGAACCAUAGAUUCUUCUCUGCCUAAAACCCAUAGAGUGAGUCAGAGGCAGAGCCAGAGAUAAAAUUUGGUCCGGCUGCUGAGCUGGGCCAUCUCCAUCUCCAGCCAAGAGCGGGGCUCCUUGCCCCCCUAAACUGUUGCUUAGUCACUCUGAGGCUAGCCAAAGUAGAUCGAGAUGUUUGCACGCUUGCCCACGGACUGGUGUCUCUGUGUUUGCACUUCUCUGAUUUCUUAGCUCACGGGCUGUGGCGAAUACAAGGCCCCUCUGCCAGUGUGCUCGGGACGGAUCACAUGCAGUCUGGAGGCAAAUGUUGGUCUGGAGUCAUUAACGCAAGAAAGACGUGGAAGUCUGCUCAGGGCCAGAUGAAUUGACUUGAAUUUGGUAGUUCUCUAUCCCUCUGUUUUCAGAUUUUGAGAAUGUUAAAAUUCUAAGUUUGACAAACAUCGCAUCCAGCUCUCAUUACGUACCGAGCUCUAUGCAAGCGUUAACUCGUGUCCUGCUUGCGACAGCCCCAUGCCAUUGUUGGGCGCCAUUCUCAUCUCCUCCUAUAGCUGGGGCCACCGGGGCACAGAGAGGUGGAGGGACAGGCCCAAGUCUCAGAGCUAGGGGGAAGCUGAGCAGGGUUAAACUCCGGCACUCUGGUUAAGCUCCAGAGUCUUGCUCUCACCCACGCCUCUGAAGUGCCAAUUUCGGGAAUGCGUCAGACGGACUGCCGGGAAAUGGCCCACUGCAAGAAGAGCAUUGACUGGAGCACUAGCUGACUGAUGGUCGACACCGCGCUCACAGGCGGCGCCGCUCUGUGGUGCUCUGAACAAGGGAAUUGGUCAUUUUGUCUGAGUUUUCAAAUUGAUUGUCCCAAAGCUGUUCAUAGUCGUCUCUUAUGACAUGAGAAGGCUCCAUCCUACAUAGACGAGGGAAAGGCAGUCUGGAUUCGCAGCAGGUGCUGGGAGGCUACUGCGAUCACCCAGGCGAGAAGCAAGGCGGCAUGGAUUGGGACAGUGGUGGCCCGGCUGGAAAGAAUGGACUGACAUAUACACUGGGAUUUGCUGAUUGCUUAAAUGUGGCUGGUGAAAGAGAGGGCAGAGUCUAAA